CUAUAAUAUAAUAUGAUUUGGCGUGCAUAGUAGUUUUUAGGUUCAAGAUUAAGACGUUAUAUAACAAAUCAUCUCGAUUGGAUUUACAUAAGCAAGAAGCAGAAAGGUGUCGUGGUUUUUCAUUUUGUUUAAAACUGUUCUUCUUUCCCGCGUUCUGCCUGUAUCAGCUGUUCACCCAUCUUUGCUACAACAAUGUCCAGAGAUUUCAAAUUAGGACGCCAACGUGAGCUCCCAACAGACAAAAGGGAGGCGAGAGAGGCCUUGUACUACGCAACUUCUGCGGUAAUGGCAGACAUUCCAGUAUUGAUGGAAGAGAUGGCUGAUAGUGUGAACGCAGCGAACAGAAAAAUGUAUGCUGUCAACGAGCUUUUGCGAGCAGUUUCACAACAUUAUGUGAAACCUAAUGGGAGUCAAAAUACAAAACCCUAGAUAAUUGACAGAAGAUUCUAUCUUUUAAUUUUGUUGCUUGGCAACCAAUUUCUGUGUAUCGAAUUCUAAGAGUAAUUAAAAAAAAGUGCUGUAAAUCAUUUUUUUUUUCGCAUUAUUCGACAUUUUAUUAACAUGUAUAGCCCAGGAGUGCUAGUAGGCAACUGGUUUGAAAAGCGCAGUUGCUACAGUCAAAAGAGCUUUCAGCAUAAAUCUGUAUAUGCCACAGAUUAUUGUGCCCCACCCAAGCCCACUGAAGAUGAUUUAAUGGGCGACAUAAAGACACAGGAAAAUGUGUGUAAAGCAGAAAGUGAUAGUCUUAGUCUAAAAGGAAUCUCCUUUUUCUCAUUUUGGCAUUACAAAAUUUUCAGAGUGAUCGAGUACUGCCCACACUUGAUGGCUACAAAAAUAAUUUCUCAUCAAGCUAUGACCUGCAUUACAGAAUACAUCCAAAAGGGCUUUGUGGACCUAGGUUAAGAACUUUCAACACACAGUCUAAGGCAUGGCUUCCAGAUCAAGAUUUUGCUUUAAACUAUGGAAAUGUAACAGAAUUUGGGCUUCGGGCUUACAAGAAUGAAAUCAAACGUCUACAUGAAUGCCGUGAGCGUUAUCUUUCAACUGAAUAUCGUGAUACAUAUGUACAGUACUCACAGGAGUUUUAUAUUAAAGUAAAAUAAACGACACUGAAGCAAUAUAACUAACACACAUCAGUUUUCUUCUUAAUGGUGCAUCUUGGAAGCAAUUAGCAGUGUAUCCAUGCUGAUAUGAUUUUAUUAAUGGUUGUACAAAUAGUAAACAUGCUUUGUGGAAGUCUUGUUGGAAAACACACUGACAGCUCUCAAGUAAAUCUCUGUAUUAUGUUAACAGCUUUGAACUACAAGAAUAUAGGUUCACAAAACAUCAGCUUGGCAUAUGUUUCUACAAAACAUGAUGUGUGUGGAUGUAAUAGUGAGCA